CAGGUGGUGACGAAGUUCCGUUAUAUGCCGCUUUAUAGGCUGUCAACCCCACUAAAACUUGUUAUAUCGUAAAUCUAAAUUGAUUUAUCUUUACAAUGUUGGUAUAACAUGCCUACAUUUGUUGUCGGAAUCAUCCGUAGCAAUCCUACCAAAGUAUGUCAAUCGUAAUAAUUUUGCAAACCGCUGAAGAAUUGGCAAUAAACGCGUCACAUCUCCUUGUAUAUCUCGGUUUCCGAUUGGUCAAUUCUAUGGGAAAGUCUAAAUGAUUCUCGGAGUUAUCUGAUCUUGUUUCAUUUCAUACGUAAAGUCAAGAGAGAGUCUGCAAGACAUUGACGUCAUGGGAAAAUUUGUAACUUAUUAGACAUACCACAAACAACACUUGUUAGAUUUUUUCACGGUAUAUUAUACAAUUUUACUAACUGUAUGAUAAGUUCUAUUCAUACGAAAACUAACAGUUUUUUUUAAAACAAUUUUUAUAAUAAAUCAUUUACUGCGGAC
rnacentral:lncRNA from 1 species